GAAGAUGUGAUUCAUAUUUACGCGAUUCGUUGGGACAUUGAGGUCUUCUUCAAAUGCAACAAAUCGCUGCUUCGUUUGCAAAAAGAGUUUCAAGGCCGCUCCUGUGAGUGAGCUUCUAUCCAGCAUCGUCCAUGUGACUGGAAUAGGGGCUAACAAGUAGUGGAAUACGCUGUCUCAUCUCCGCCUGGGGUGAGCUGAAGAAGAUAAUCAGGCUGACCUUAACGAUAGCCGGUUACGGGGCGAUCGCUAAGGUGACAUCAAAACUGUAACUACACCCGUAGAAGCAUAUGUGCCGUUAUCUUCGGACAGGGGUUCAAAUCCCCUU
rnacentral:tmRNA from 1 species